CCCGCUGAACUUAAGCAUAUUAUUAAGCGGAGGAAAAGAAACUAACAAGGAUUCGGAUAGUAACGGCGAGUGAAGUCCGAAAAGCUCAAAAUGAAAAUCGAAUACCAUAUAGGUCUUCGAGUUGUAAUCUUAUAGACGUGUGUUCAACUAGCGACCCAGAGGAAAUUCUCCUGGAAAGGGGGACCAUAGCGGGUGAUAGUCCCGUUCAACCUUUGGAGUUCGCGGUCUAACGAUACACUGUCUUUGAGUCGUGCUGUUUGGGAUUACAGUGCAAAAAUGGGUGGUAAACUUCAUCCAAAGCUAAAUAUUGGCGGGAGACCGAUAGCGAACAAGUAGCGUGAGCGAAAGAUGAAAAGAACUUUGAAAAGAGAGUUAAUAGUACCUGAAAUUGCUAAGAGGUAAGCUAUGGGAUGCAGUGUGAUAGACCUGUUGUUAUAUGGUAAGUAUCAUCCAUAUUUGUAGUAAGAUUUUAUAAAACUAGUGGUAAUACACUGUCUUUAUAAGAAUGAAAAAAGUAUAGAUGAUAUGUAUUCCUUAUACCAGGUGGCAAAAUACAUCGAAUUAAUCGGAAAAAAUCUUAAAGUAGGUGUAUCUCUUCUGGGCAACUGGUCGAUGAUCUGACUUUUCGACGAUACGUUUUGAUUCGGUGGGUUUGACAGUGCGGUAAUGACUAUGUGACCUUUGAUGUUUAUCGUUUAAAGACAACAAAGUUGUGUUUAGAUGGUAAAUGCCUUAUCGUUAUAUAGAUUUAAUAAUUACUACUGGACGAUUUUUGCCAAAAUGCAUUCCAUUGACCCGUCUUGAAACACGG
rnacentral:rRNA from 1 species